UUCUCAGCAUCCCCACACACUCACACAGCAUACCCACCACAUCACACAUAGCUUAACACUGACCCACACUUCUCGCUAAGUCUGAACUGUAACACAGAAGGCUACUAGUCUAAUAACAUUGCUUACUUAUAAGAGUAGCCUGGUGGCAUUUCACAGUGGGGACAGUGAUCCAGAGGAGGCAGCAGAUCCAGAUCAGGGAGUUUGAGGUGAUGAGCGGUCAGACAGGCCGACAGACUGGAGGAAGUUGGCCUAUCUGCUCUGUCUCAGGCAGUUCCCUAGCGAAGACGCCCUGCUGCGGCACCAACAGCUUCAGACCUGCAGUAUGGCAACAGCAGGAUGACACUUUAAUCUCUAUGAGUCUGGGUGGAAAUAUUUUGGGUUAUUUUUAGCCCUGUCAUCUGCUCAGGGUGUGCAAUUGUCCUUUAGCUUAAACAAGCAAAACUUGGAAAUUCACAGACGAUCCAAACUAUUGGAAGCCGAGCUGGAGGAGUUGGAGAGAAAAUAUAUAGAGAGACAGAGCAUCUGAAAGAAGGGAUAAGAAUGGUGUUCCUGAACCACCAGCGCCCAAGAAGAAGAAAUUCUAUCUAGAUAUCCCUCGCCCCCCUAUCUCAAAAGCAGGGGUCUCAUAUUCCCCUAACAUAUGUUAUUGUCCAACUAUAGCCUUGAUCAAUUCAAGUUAACAGAACUAACAAAUGAAUUACAUUUGAUUAAUAUAAUUUGAUUAAUUCCCAUCUCUUCUCAACCACCUGACACACAGGAACUAUGAGCAGCCCACCAAAGACGGUCUGACUAAUGCUAACAUUGGGAACAUGAUGCUGCAGGCAAUGAGCUGGCAAGAAGGCAUCAGUACGGACCAAGGGCACACGCCUGGGCAUCAAGGGAAGCAACUACGAACUCUACGCAUCGGACACCUACAAGGACACCGUGCUCAAGGCCAUCUUUGCACGCUUCAUAGAGCUUGCGUGAACAGGGACUACAGCCGCCCCCUCCUUCCUCACCCCUACACCCUUGUUACCCCAUUAUCCCCACCACUAUGAAAAUUAUAAGAACAAGAGGAGCAUGUACAUUUGCUAUUUAAGUGUUUUGUUUGGUUUACUUUAUUUGUUCUUCCUUUCUGUGGCCAUGUACAACAGCUACAAAUAAUUAAGAUAUCAGGCAUUCUAUUAACCACAGGCCAAGCUAGUUCUUGUCCAUUUCGUGUAUUUGUUUUCCUUCCAUAUAUACUGAACAAAAAUAUAAAUGCAACAUGUAUUGUUAGUCCCAUAUUUCAUCAGCUGAAAUAAAUGAUCCCAGAAAUGUUCCACAUGCAUUUCUCUCAAAUGUGGUGCACAAAUUUGUUUACAUCCCUGUUAGUGAGCAUUUCUCCUUUGCCAAGAUAACCCAUCCACCUGACAAGUGUGGCAUAUCAGGAAGCUGAUUAAACAGCAUGAUCAUUACACAGGUGCACCAUUGUGAGGCCCAUUUUUUAAAGGUCUCUGUAACCAACCGAUGCAUAUCUCUAUUUCCAGUCAUGCGAAAUCCAUAGAUUAGGAUUAUGAACUGUAACUCAGUAAAAUCUUUGGAAUUGUUGCAUGCUGUGCUUAUAUUUUUGUUCAUAUAAAAUGCUGUCAUUAGCAUUCUGUACAGUUUGUAUAGUUAAUACAUGUGUACAGAAUCCAGAUGUGGCUGUUCUGAGCUUCUCUCUAGUUGUUUAUCUGAAACAGAUCAGAAUUAAACCUGACGUGUACUCGCGUGCUUCCAUCUAGAACUGCACUUUUUGUUUUCUGGUCUUUAAAUGUUAGAGCACGUUUUUCAUUACAAGGAUAGGGAUCAAUCCUAUGCCUUUCACAGAAUCAAAUCAGACGCAUGAAGAGAUGCUGCAAGUUACAGUAUGCCGAUGAGCACUAUAGUCAAUAUUUUGCAUUAUGUCCUGAGAGCUUUAAAUUGUUCCUUCAGUGUAGCGACUAAAUAGGCACUGUGAUUUAAUAAGGCAGUUUGAGUUCUUAGGAGGAGUACUGUGAUGUGAGUUGCCCCUCCACAGGGCUUGUCUGACUCACUGGAUAUUACUGAGCUGUUCCUCCUGGGACAGUGUGCUGGAUCCCUGACCACAACGUUACUCCUCACCACUGCUAAUCUCUCACCUCACCUGGCUUUUGUGUGUACUCACCAGAACAGAUGUGAUUCCUCCAUUGGGGUUUGACAAAUUGU